UACGGGGGGGGCAAGCGUUGUUCGGAUUUACUGGGCGUAAAGGGCGUGCAGGCGGUUUGUUAAGUGCAGGGUGAAAGCUCCCGGCUCAACUGGGAGAGGUCCUUGCAUACUGGCGAACUCGAGGGAGGCAGAGGAAAGUGGAAUUCCCGGUGUAGUGGUGAUAUGCGUAGAUAUCGGGAGGAACACCGGUGGCGAAGGCGGCAUCCUGGACCAUUACUGACACUGAAAAGCGAAAGCCAGGGGAGCAAACGGG
rnacentral:rRNA from 1 species